CACAACGUCGCCGAUCCUCUCGAUCCACCCCUCCCGAUGCGACCUCUCUCCUUCCCUCUCCUCGUGCUCCGGCGCCGCCCCCAUCUCCCGCUUCGGUGCCGCCCCUACUACUUCGUCGGCCCGACGCAGCCGGAUCUCAUAGCCCGAUCUCAUGCGAUCUCACAGCCACCGUCGGCGAUCUCACAGCCGGAUCUCGUGCGAUUUCGCGCCGCCGACAUACGGAGUCACCUCCAUGGUACGGGAUCACCGCUGCCGAUGUAAGAGGUCACGUCGCUGCCACCACUGAAUAACCCGCGCUGCUCACUGCUCUGCUCGUGUCACGCCUCCUCGGUCAUGUUUGCCGCCAUGGCCACCAGUCCCCACCUCGAUUUGUCAUCUCCUUGACCAGCCACCCAUGUCCUAGCCAUGUUGUUGCUGCUGAUCUCCCCUCCUCAACCCGUAGGUGCACACCACCCCUUCCCCUCCCUCCCUUCCUCCCGCUAGCGAACUCCCUCAAGAUGUGGGCGCUGCAUGUGGACAAUAUGGAGGCUCAUUCUGGAUUCAUGCUGCCGCUGGUGUCAAACGACAAGAUGGGUAGUGAGACAGUCGUCGUGACUUCAGGUAUGUUUGAUUGAGUGUGUCUUUUUUUUCCUUGUGCACCGCUUCAAUUGCUUUAACUAAUUCGUCAGUGGAGAAGAAGGUGCCCUGGAUUGAGAAGGUUGGUGAGCACGCUAAGAGGCAUGUAUACAAGAUAUUAGACUCUGGUGUCGUGAUGCUGUAUACAAGAUAUUGAUUGGCAUCAAAUAGUUUCAGCUCGGCAGGGUAAUGGAGAAGCUUCAUUCUGAUGGUCUAGAAGUUUUUGUUUGGUGUUUCCCUCGGCAGGGUAAUGGAGGAAGAUGAGACUUACCCCAGUUUUCAGUGCAUGGUUGGAGAAGAGGAUAAGAGGAGAGGCUUGAAUCUUGAGGUGACAAGGGUAGUCAUCUGGUGCAACUAAAGGUUCAGGUUCAUACUUGUGAUGAUAUUCGUCAGUUUGCCUGGAUGAUUGCCUUGUACUAAUCUUUUCAGAAGGAAGGAGGUAAAUGGAGCAAAAGGCACGAGGAGAAAGGAGUAACGCCAUAGGGACGAUGUUGUCGGCAACGCCUUUGAAAGGAUUCUCCAAGGAGAAGCUACGGUGGCUGACCAUCUUGCUCGGGAAGUGGGAAGGAUGUCAUUCGGGAAGCCCCUAGGUUCUAGGGGUGUGCGUCCAUGCGGUGGACGAGGAUGGCCAUGCGGUGGCCGAGGUGGCCACAAGGAGUUGGAUUGGGCACUUGCCAAUGCGAGCAUGUCGUUGCUCAAGGUACCAAGACCCUGGUUUUGACACAAAGUUUCUUGGCAAGCUGUGCAUGGUUGGGACUGUUUCGUGCAUGCGGGCAAUGGCUCAUGCCAUUCAGUAGCCAUCCAUGUCGCCGUCGCUUGCUGUUAGUUUUUCUUGGAUUCCAAAUUACUUUAUGUGGUGUUCCUCAAUGCAUGAAUUAUUUUCAAUAUGGACGUGAGUCUGAAAAAUGUGGUAAGGCUAUCACCAUUUUUUUUAACUGCAGAUGCCUGAAGCUGAGAAGCAUGAUAUUUUAUUUUCCAUGUUGCUCUAUCUCUGUAUUGUUAGAUCGCAAGAACUUUUAUCACAUAUGUUUGUGUGCAGUAUGCCAAUUUAUCCGUGAUGGCAACCUAACAUUUGGAGGUAACGACGGCCUCACCAGAAUAAGGGGAAAAUUGUGGGAGUGGACGCACAUCAUGUAGGUGAAACAUGAGAAUUUGUGGUCGUAGCAGCUGCGUUCUUCUUACAGUUUUCCUUCUCUGAAUUGCAUCUUUGGUACAUCUAAAUUUAUUAUUUAAUAUCAUGGAGAGGGAGUUGUCGUCGGUAUUUUCAUCAGUUAUGCAAUUGAUUCUGUACAGAGGAGAAUUAUGCACUCUUUUCUCAUUGUUUUAUAAUAUAUCCUCCAUUUGAUGUCUUAUCUAACCUGCCCAUGCCUCAGCGAUGACACACUUGAGGAGUCUGAACUCCGAAGGAAGGUGACGACGAGUUGAACCCAUGCAAUUAUGAGACACCCGAUGAUGUGUCAAAACCUGUCCUGCAAAAUAAAGGAGCGUUGAGGAUGACGACUUUCAUGUUCACUUGGAUGAUGCUGGUUCCGUGGUGGCCUUUGAUAUGUCAGGUAAGAUCUUGGGGUAUCAUAUUCGCUGAUUCUCCAUUAGAUUUCUCUGUUCAUUGCAGGGUGUGCCCUGUUGUGUUGGGCUUGGUGUGAUGCGGGUUGCCUGUGCGGAUACGCUGUGUCCGUGGGCCAUCCGUGUGGUAUUUGUGUUAAUCAAUGCAAGAGGAAAGUAACUUGAUAGGAUGAAAUAAAAAUGAUUCCGACAAGAUUUGAUCAUGGUGCAGUAUUCUUAGGCUAACUUACCCUUUUCUUGUAGAAACUACUCCCUCCGUUCCUAAAUAUAAGUCUUUUUAGAGAUUCCAAUAAGGGACUACAUGCGGACCAAAAUGAGUGAAUCUACACUCUAAAACAUGUCUAUAUACAUCUGUAUGUAGCAUGUGUUGAAAUAUCUAAAAAGAGUUAUAUUUAGAAACAGAGGGAGUAGAAUGAUAUGUCCAGAGAAUAAAUUGGUACAUAGUUUCAGUACAUGUGCAUUUCAUUACAGUUAUGAGUAGGUUUCUAGCAUGCUUUUAUUCCAGGUCUUUGCUAAGUGGUGUUAUAAGUAGGUUUCUAGCAUGCUUUUAUUUGAGGUCUUUGCUAAGUGGUGUGUGUGGCUGAAUUAGAUGGAAAUUCUUCCAUCGGUUAUUAGGUCCAGUUCUCUUGAGAAAAAUUGAUGUAGUUUCUGCAUUAAUUAGCCUGGUCGGUAUCAUUUGUUGAACCAUCAAACUAUAUAGCCACAUGCUAUCUUGUAGAAGGAAUCAGUAAUCUACCAAAAGUAGAGCCAUGAUAACUUCAUUCAGUCAAGACUGUAUUACAAGAAUUUCCAACCGAUAAUAAGAUACUGGUUUUCAGUAAUGCUUUUAUAAUGAGGGACAUUCUCAGAACUAUACAUUUUUAUUAUUAAAUAUUAUAUCAAUUUUUAUUACUCAGUGUGCAACUCCUUAAAGCUACGAUGUUUGAAAAAUAAAUUGGAUAGUAUUAUGAGGUAUAUGUUUGACACAACUGAUGUUGAACCACUGAAAAUUCAUGGCCCCGUUGGAAUGCAUGGGCACCUAAUUAUAGAUUAUUUGCGGCUAAUACUUGUUCUCACCUUCUGAUUUUUUAUUCACACGAUGUUUCAAGAGACCACGUGCAGCUCCAUAGAUGACAGCAAGCUCGCCAUGACUGGGGGUGGAGCUGAAGAUGUACCACGGCUUUUCGUCACUACCCUCGAAAGCUGCAAGGUUAACCAUAACCAUACCGUGUAACGUGUACUGAGUUGUAUGAGAACUAAUUACAGAACAAGUAUAUUUUUCAAGGAAUUUGAAAAAAAAAUCAUCAUAUUUUUCCAUCGAUUCUGAGGCAGUUUUGAAAUAGGAAGCUCGGUAUGGGUUAUGGCGUGUCUUUUUAGAAUCACUUCAAUUAGUUUUGAAAUUGGAAGCUUGGCCUGUCUAUUCGUC